CCCGGCUCGGAUCCCGCGUUGCUGUGGCUCUGGUGUAGGCCGGUGGCUGCAGCUCCGAUUUGACCCCUAGCCUGGGAACCUGCAUAUGCCGCGGGAGCGGCCCAAAGAAAUAGCAAAAAGACAAAAAAAAAAAAAAAAAAAAAAAAAAAAAAGUGGGGCCAACAUGGUCCCAGCCCUCUGAAUUUUUGACAGUUCCUCUUAAAACCAUUUUAUGAAUAUUUUCAGACAGAUGCGCAGAAGUAGAAUAGUACAGUGAAUCGCCCACCACUUAGGUUCAACAAUUAUCCAGACUUGGCUUCAUCUAGCCUCUACUUUUUUGGGGAUCCUGUCUGAAUUUGGGGAGACAGGAAUUAUUACAUCAGCUGCCCUGGUGUUCUGAGCAUGCCCUGAACUGUGUAUACCCUUGGAGGUUUUUUGUUUUUAUUCAGAGCAGCUUGAUGUAUUAUCAUAUAUCGUGAGCAAGUGUCUUUUCCUGCGUGUAUAUGAAAGGGAUCACAGAUCCUUCUAGGUCUUGCGAUUGCAUUGCUUUUAUUGCUGGCUUCCUCUGGCACCGUGUUGACUGUUUCCCGCUCAGUCCUUCCUCAAGGGAGGAGGUUCCCACAGCCGUGGAAGGGACCAGUUCUCCGGCAGCCCAUUGCUCCAGUCCGUUGGUGGUCACCGGACUAUCUGCUUUCUUUUGUAAGGAUGCAGCGAAUCCCUGCUCCUCCUCCCCAGGUGAGAAAUGACCGUCUCCAUCAAUCGUCGCUUUUCCUGGAUCUCCUCAUAGACAGGUAGAUGCCUCUCCCCGACCUGGGUCAUCCAUUUAUCCACAUUCAAUGUGGAUGCAAUCCCCCCCCCUCCUCCUUCCCUCCCCCCUCCCUCCCUCCUUUCCUUCCUUUUUCCUGCUCUCCUUUCCUCUAUCAUAGAUGCCAAUGCAUCCAGCAGCAACCUCCCGGUCACCACUUUUUUCAACUUAUUUAACCCCCACCCGAAAAAACAAAAAACAAAAAAAAACAACGGUUCGUCUAUUUCUCCUACCUCCCACCCCACCCCUGCAACCACCAAUCUAUUCUCCCCAUCUAUCAGCCGGAUAUUUAUUUAU
rnacentral:lncRNA from 1 species